GGUGCGUUUUUGACGUAGAAAGAUCUGGGCCUGGGGGAGGGGUGAGGAACCCUGUGGGGAGGUACUGGAUCAGAAGGGCAGGACUCUUGUUCCAAGGCUGCUUUGAACCCCAGGAAUACGGGGAUGGUUUGUGUGGACGAACUGUCGUAUUCCCAUCCUGCCCCAGAUUCUACUCUCAUUACCCACCUGGGAAGAAGUAAAAAUCCUCUGCCAAGGAACCAUUAUUUCUGGGCCUGGCCUGAGGGGAUUUGGGGUUCUGGGAGAUCCCAGUCUGGACGAAUUUGGAAGUAUGCUGAUUAGGUGUUUCCUUCUGGGCUGUGGCCCUGUUCCUAGGACACUGUUCCCAAAGCACUUGUCAGUGUUUGGACAGAAAGAAGGCUAAGACCCCAGAGUCCUGAGAUCCUGCUGGAGUAGGAACCAGUCAAGCCAACAGGGCCACGCCCAUGGAGCCUGGGCACACCAGGAGUCCCAGCUGCCUCCCUUCUCACUGGAAGAGAGGACUAGCGCUGGGCCUGGGCCUGGACUUGGCAGGGUAGAGGCAGGCUGGCCAGAUGCUCUGUCCCUGUCUCUGGUGAUGAGAUGGGAGGUGGUUCUUAGCUGGAAGGGGAAGGAGGCUGAAGGAGGGCAGGGAGGAGAAGAGAGAGGGUGCUGGGAAACUUGUUCCUGAACCAGACCUUGAUGGGGCCUCUCUGUCCUGCUCCUUCUAGAUGAGAGCCCACAGGUUUUGUGUGUAUGUGUGUGUGUGUGUGUGUGUGUGUGUGUGUGUGUGUGUGUGUGUGUGUGUGUGUGUUUGUUGAGCACUGUUGGGGUGAUACAGCGCUAAUUUCAAGAAGUGGAAAUUGGAAGUUGUGGCAGGACAUGCUAGUGAACAUCCUCUUGCCCCUACUGAUUCCCAUGGCAGAUCAAACAGGGGCUAAACUUCAAGCAUGAAGGAGAAUCUUGGACAGCGUAGGAGCUGGGAAGAGAAGGUGCAUGAAGAAAGGAAGGAUGGAAUCCCCAGGGAUGGAGUGGCAAGGGCCUUCUCCACCCACUGAGCCCUUUUCUUCCUAUUUCACAUUUGUCAGUUAUACAAUUUCCUACCAGAAGAUCUUGCAGUGACCCUUCAGGCCUUGCCUGGAUCCCUACUUACCUAAUGAGGACAAUCACUGAGGAUGGCUUUUUCUGGCACUGUUUUCCAAGAGCAGAGGAUGCAAUAAGUUCUGGAUUUAAAGGGCCCGAUUUCCCGCAAUGGAGUGUAUUUCCGGGCCAUUGUGAGACCUGCGCAGAGGGCACAAGGACAGCCUACAGGACCCAGAGCUUGGUGGGGGCACGAACAGCCUAGAAAUCUCCUUUCUUGAAGUCCAGAGGCCCAAGGGCAGAGGAUUAGUUUGAACGCGCUGCUCCUUCCUCUGGUAGGCCUAUUACUUCUCUCCUAACAGCAAUCCCCCCACCGGCCUCCUGGGGAAGCAUGACUUCCUUGUGUGGUGGCUGUGUCUCUCAGCUCAGCAAGCAGAGGAAGCCCUCUGGUCUACAAAUACCACUGAAGGAGGGUGUUGAGGGGACACCUCUGUCAAGGCCAGGCCAAGCUCCCCGGGGAAAUGUCUUGCUAUAAUGGAGGAAAUCACCCCGGGGUCAGAGGGGAGCCCAUGGCCAAGCAGUUCAUUACAGUUACAAGAGUGAAGACUUAUAAUCUGCCUGCUUUUUGUGAAGACCGGAGGCACCUUCUCCAUAACCAGCAGGGCAAAGACACACGGAGGUUAAACUGAUGCAAUCCCCGAGUCUCUUGACAAGGAGCAGGGGCGCCAAGCUUGCAGACAAGAGGCUAGCAGUGAUUACACUCAAGCACUAAAUUUGGUUCACUUAAUCAAACAGUGCAUGGGCCUGGUACAGUCGUAGUCUGCGUAUGGCCCUCUCUGAAAAGGGUUUCAAGUGGCUUAGUCUUUCCUUCUGAAUGCCUGUGACCUUUGAUCAUCUGUUCUUGUCCAGCAUUUGUAAUAACCAUCUACUCUGUACUGUAUUUGUGGUGGCUUCGUUCAUUGGAUACUUUGAUGGUGUGUAAGUAAUUUACAAGCUUUACCUCUUUGAAUCCCUCCAACGACCUAAUGAUCUGGGUACCACUGUUAGGUCCAGUUAACACAUGAAUAAACUGAGUAUGUUUGAAUCUAGAUGCUUGUAACUCUUUUUUUUUUCCCAUGAAGUUUA